UAUCAGCAGCUGUUUAGUGCCUCUGAGU
rnacentral:piRNA from 1 species